rnacentral:rRNA from 1 species
GAUGAACGCUAGCGGCAGGCCUAACACAUGCAAGUCGAGGGGUAGAAGGAGCUUGCUCCUUUGAGACCGGCGCACGGGUGCGUAACGCGUAUGCAAUCUACCUUGUACAGGGGAAUAGCCCAGAGAAAUUUGGAUUAAUGCCCCAUAGUAUAUAACCUUCGCAUGUUGGUUAUAUUAAAGUUCCAACGGUACAAGAUGAGCAUGCGUCCCAUUAGUUAGUUGGUAAGGUAACGGCUUACCAAGACGAUGAUGGGUAGGGGUCCUGAGAGGGAGAUCCCCCACACUGGUACUGGGACACGGACCAGACUCCUACGGGAGGCAGCAGUGAGGAAUAUUGGUCAAUGGUCGCAAGACUGAACCAGCCAUGCCGCGUGCAGGAAGACGGUCCUAUGGAUUGUAAACUGCUUUUAUACAAGAAGAAACCCUCCCACGUGUGGGAGCUUGACGGUACUGUAGGAAUAAGGAUCGGCUAACUCCGUG